GACGAACGCUGGCGGCGUGCUUAACACAUGCAAGUCGAACGGAAAGGCCCUGCUUGCAGGGUACUCGAGUGGCGAACGGGUGAGUAACACGUGGGUGAUCUGCCCUGCACUUCGGGAUAAGCCUGGGAAACUGGGUCUAAUACCGGAUAGGAGCCAUUUUUAGUGUGAUGGUUGGAAAGUUUUUUCGGUGUAGGAUGAGCCCGCGGCCUAUCAGCUUGUUGGUGGGGUAAUGGCCUACCAAGGCGGCGACGGGUAGCCGGCCUGAGAGGGUGGACGGCCACAUUGAGACUGAGAUGCGGCCCAGGCUCCUACGGGAGGCAGCAGUGGGGAAUAUUGCACAAUGGGCGCAAGCCUGAUGCAGCGACGCCGCGUGGGGGAUGACGGCCUUCGGGUUGUAAACUCCUUUCGCUAGGGACGAAGCUUUUUGUGACGGUACCUAGAUAAGAAGCACCGGCUAACUACGUG
rnacentral:rRNA from 1 species